ACUCCUACGGGAGGCAGCAGUGGGGAAUCUUGGACAAUGGGGGAAACCCUGAUCCAGCCAUGCCGCGUGAGCGAUGAAGGCCUUAGGGUUGUAAAGCUCUUUCAGGUGGGAAGAUAAAUGACGGUACCACCAGAAGAAGCCCCGGCGUAACAUCCGUGCCAGCAGCCGCGGUAAUACGGAGGGGCGUAGCGUUGUUCGGAAAUUACUGGGCGUAAAGCGCACGUAGGCGGAUUGG
rnacentral:rRNA from 1 species